rnacentral:rRNA from 1 species
CCUACGGGGGGCAGCAGUGAGGAAUAUUGGUCAAUGGACGAGAGUCUGAACCAGCCAAGUAGCGUGACGGAUGACUGCCCUAUGGGUUGUAAACUUCUUUUAUAUGGGAAUAAAAUGUUCCACGUGUGGGAUUUUGUAUGUACCAUAUGAAUAAGGAUCGGCGAAAUCCGUGCCAGCAGCCGCGGUAAUACGGAGGAUCCGAGCGUUAUCCGGAUUUAUUGGGUUUAAAGGGAGCGUAGGUGGAUUGUUAAGUCAGUUGUGAAAGUUUGCGGCUCAACCGUAAAAUUGCAGUUGAAACUGGCAGUCUUGAGUACAGUAGAGGUGGGCGGAAUUCGUGGUGUAGCGGUGAAAUGCUUAGAUAUCACGAAGAACUCCGAUUGCGAAGGCAGUUCACUGGACUGCAACUGACACUGAGGCUCGAAAGUGUGGGUAUCAAACAGGAUUAGAUACCCUAGUAGUC